GACGAACGCUGGCGGCGUGCUUAACACAUGCAAGUCGAACGGAAAGGCCCGGCUCUUGCUGCGUGCUCGAUUGGCGAACGGGUGAGUAACACGUGAGUAACCUGCCCCUGACUUUGGGAUAACUUUAGGAAACUGGGGCGAAUACCGGAUAUGAGCUCCUGCUGCAUGGUGUGGGUUGGUAAGUUUCGGCGGUUGGGGCUGGACUCGAGGCUUAUCGGCUUGUUGGUGUGGUUGUGGCUUACCAAGGCUUUGAAGGGUAGCCUGCCUGGGAGGGUUGCCGGCCACAUUGGGACUACGAUACGGCCCAGUAUCCUACGGGAGGCAGCAGUGGGGAGUAUGGCACAAUGGGCGGAAGCCUGUUGCGGAAGCGCCGCGUGCGGAAUGACGGCCUUCGAGUUGUAAACAGAUUUGGCAUGUGCCGAAGCGUUAGUGACGGUAACGGGUAAGGAAGCACCGGCUAACUACGUG
rnacentral:rRNA from 1 species